UAUAACUUUCUAGACACUGUUUGCACUGCAUUCCUCCCCCACCACCUACGAGUCUACGACCUCCGUUCACACUCACAGCACAGCCUAAUAAAUCAUGCAGAGAGGGGCUGCCACUGAUCUCCGUAGAUCACAGGGGAGGAGGUGUGUACAGUGGCAUCCUCACAUGCUGCUUAGUGCUGGACUGCUGCAAUCACUGAAUAGAAAGAGGAUCAAGGACGGACUUUGCUAGGGAGGAGGUAGAGGGGGCGAACGCUCCAAUCAACCCUGCCUUCGACCCCCCCCCCCCCCCCCCCCCCUAUCAGUUACUGCUUUUAUGUUCGGGAGGGGGGCGAGGACUGCAGAGAGGAGUGUACAUAAGAAGAGGCGGCUGCCAGCUGACGGAGGAGGCUUUCUGAGGAAUAUUCAAGUUAUACCGAUGAUGAUGCGACCAGCUGGUAUGCCUGUUUCUAAGCACUGUGUCUGCGUGGUAUUUGAGCUGACGGAGGAGGCUUUCUGAGGAAUAUUCAAGUUAUACCGAUGAUGAUGUGACCAGCUGGUAUGCCUGUUUCUAAGCACUGUGUCUGCGUGGUAUUUGAGUUUAUGUAUAACUAGGCGUCCAUGGUAACGGGCAAAGGAAGGUGACGCAAUCUGUGUGCGUCUACACACCGGACCCGCAUGCCAGGACGUCUACACGUGGUGGAGGCACCUUAUAUAAGGGCUCAAGGCACUUAACAGAAUUAACAUAAUACAGUACAGAAACAAUGAAGAACAGAAGAGCUUUUCAUAAGUACAGAGAGCAUGGAGAUAUUAAAAGGACAAUUAUGGAAAAGCUUGAGUAAACAGGAAAGUCUUGAGCUCAUUUUUGAAGGAUUCUAGAGUGGGGGCCUCUCGCACUAUGCGGGGAAGUGAGUUCUAUAGAGUUGGAGCCACAUGGCUAAAAGCUCGACGCCCAGAAGAAUUACGGGAGAUUCUAGAUACUGCUAAUACUGUAUACAGCAAUGCGGCCACGCUCCCUUCCUGUGAGUCCACACUCCUUGUUUAACUGGCAACACUGUAAGUAAUCGUCACAACAGGCUACUAUUAUUCAAAAAUGUAGAAAAAUUUUAUUCAGCAAAAUAAACUGCAGUAUGACUGAUGAAUAUUAUGCCAACAAACUAAGGGGCCUAUUUGUUAUUGAAGCAGUGUGGCCCCCUAUAAUUACAUAUCCAACUUGCCACAAGUUGCAGCAGUGGAUCCUAAAAUACUAAUUAGUAGUGGUGAAAUUUUACAUUGCCAAGACCGACCUAGCAGAGUUUGUGCACGUGUGACCGGAGAUCACGUAUGAGCACUGCCAAAGGGGAUGCAGCGCUGGAGAGGGUGGAGGGAUCUGAUUGGAUCACUCUUCGCAACAGGGCCAACCUUUCCAUAGGAAGAAGCGGGACCCAGGGACACAACACCAACUGAAGUUGGCAUAGGUUCCGCAGGCAGUUUUCAGAAGUUCCUGAACACUAGGUGGCUACAUCCAACUCUUAAUAAUGAUUGGACCCAUUACUAAAAAUAUGCAGAAACUAGCGCAUCCUUAUCUGUAAUGGGAUCACUGGUAAUCAUGAAUUGGCCCCUAAGUGAGAAUCUGUAACAGCUGACUCCAGUGAGUAUGAGUAUAGCAUUGACAUCAGCGCUAAGAAAGCACAGAGCAUGUGUAGAGCAUGUGCAGAGGGAAAACAUGGAAAUAGGGAAGUAGUAGCAGCCCCACUCCCUACACCUACUGCACCUAUGUCUAUAAGUGCAUUAUAUCGUCUGCAAAUGGACUGGCGUUCAACAUUGCAUCACCAUUUUUUGCCCAUUGGUAAGUGAGU